CCGCGGUUCAUUUUAGCUAGUUUGAUAAACAAACGAAGAGAGGAGAGUGUUAAGCACACCUCAUUGCAGUCGGACUCGGAACCGGUCGCCAUUAUUGGAGGCUCGUAGUUCCGACCUGCAAACAGCGAUGGUGCUAACCAACUUCAAUGGAGCUGGAGUCGGAUUCGGAUUUGGUGCUGGCUGCGGUUUCGGCGUUGGAUGGGGUUUCGGAGGCACGCCUUUGAGCUUCUUGGGCCUUGGUGUACGUAAGGCGGAGGCUGUAGCGUUGGACUAGGUCUUGGAUGGGGCUUUGGCACCGCCUUUGGUAGUCAGUAUCAUUCAUCUGGGGUCACAUCCAGGGCAUAGACUUCGGCAAGAAGGAACAUGAUGAUGCCGUACAGAAAAGCAACCAGGACAUUCGUGCCUCGCGAUGGCUCUUCGUCACGCCAUUUCCUCAUCAUUUCCGUGUCUGAACUCGUAACUGCAGACCCAACUAACGUCGCUACGCAAGCCGACUUAGGGUGCCAAUGUAGAGAAAAAGGGGAGGAUUGUUUGAUGUAUGCAAUACUUCAAUUUGAGUUUCUAGAAUAUCUCUCUCUCGAUUCCAAAUGAA